UCGCAGUCGCAGUCGCAGCAGUUGCCGUCGUCGUCGUCGUCGUCGUCGUCGUGGUUGUCGUUGUCGUUGUCUCGCAUCCGUGCCCGUCUUACUGUGUCUGCGUGUGUGCGUGUGUGUGUGUGUGUGUGUGUGUGCGUGUGAGUGUGUGUCUGUCUGUCUGCGUGUGUGUGCCAGCUGCGUGUAGGUUCUGUGAGUCUGAAUGAAUACUACUCUGCACACAAAUUUGAAGAAUUCAUCGGGAAAAUGAAAAACUUAAUGCAAAUAAGCAGGCGAGAAGAAAAACAAAUACGAAAAUAGCAUAGAAAAAAAGAAUAAAAAAAAAAGAGAAAACGAACAACGAAUUGAGCAAAGGAAGCGGAAACGAUUUUGUUUUCUGUUAUUGUUGUUGUUGUUCAAUCUUUUUGGCUGCUUCCCGUUUUGAGACGCGCUUUGUGCCAAGGACACAAACAGGCGAUAGGCAGCCCAUAGUGAAAUAGAGGGGAAAAAGACGGAGAAGGAGAAGGAGAAACAGAGAAUGAAAGUGAAGCAGCAGCUGGAGAAACAUAAGAAGGAUCAAGGAACACAAGGAGCAACAGUGGAGGCCACCAAAAACAAAAA